rnacentral:rRNA from 1 species
CAGUCGCCGCGGUAAUACGAAGGGGGCUAGCGUUGCUCGGAAUGACUGGGCGUAAAGGGCGCGUAGGCGGUUUGCCAAGUUAGAUGUGAAAUUCCCGGGCUUAACCUGGGGACUGCAUUUGAUACUGGCAGGCUUGAGUGUGGAAGAGGGUCGUGGAAUUCCCAGUGUAGAGGUGAAAUUCGUAGAUAUUGGGAAGAACACCGGUGGCGAAGGCGGCGACCUGGUCCAUAACUGACGCUGAGGCGCGAAAGCGUGGGGAGCAAACAGGAUUAGAUACCCCAGUAGUCCCUGUCUCUUAUAC